UUAAUUUAUUUAUUUUUAAAUUCAUAUCGCAUAUUAUGAGGAACUGAACUUCUUCUCUAAUCUCAAAAUACGAUUUUGGGGUUAGGGCUUCCAGCUUCAACUCCAGGCUUAAGGCAAUCGAUCAAUCAUGUUUGGGGGUUUGAACACGAUUCUUUGAGAGCUUAGGGCUUCAAUGAUAUGGAAAUGGGUAGAAAAAGGUAUUGCCAUUGUCGACCACCAAGGUUAGUGGUAGAGAGAAUCUCCUGGACUAACAGAAAUCAUGGAAUUCAAAGUAUGCACAAGGUAUCAGGUUCAUGGAGUGUGUAACUACUUUAAGUGGGUAGACCCUCUUAUGUGCCAACGAGCAAAAGAGGUGAUCCCAGGGCUAUUAAGGAAAAUCAAUAGCCUAGAAUCACAAAUUUCCUCUAUUAACACCACUAAAGUAUGGUCUGGGCAUCAACAAAUAUUUGGUGCUUCAUAUGAAUGUGAAGCACAAUCACAUACUGAGAGAUAUGGUGUAUGUGAAAGAUGUGCAUAAAGUAGGCUUAGAGUGCAUAAUCCAUGUGACAAUGAUCAGUUGAAGAACAAUUGGAUGUGUUUGUACUUGGUUGUAAUUUUCUUGCUUGGUGUAAUUUUGGCAAGAAUUUUAAUGUAAAAGUUUGGUUGUAAUUAUGUUGGUUGAUUAUGAAUGAAAUUAAUGGUUGAUGCCCACGUUGGUUUUGCA